rnacentral:rRNA from 1 species
CCUACGGGAGGCAGCAGUGAGGAAUAUUGGUCAAUGGACGAGAGUCUGAACCAGCCAAGUAGCGUGAAGGAUGACUGCCCUAUGGGUUGUAAACUUCUUGUAUAUGGGAAUAAAACGUUCCACGUGUGGGAUUUUGUAUGUACCAUAUGAAUAAGGAUCGGCUAACUCCGUGCCAGCAGCCGCGGUAAUACGGAGGAUCCGAGCGUUUUCCGGAUUUAUUGGGUUUAAAGGGAGCGUAGGUGGAUUGUUAAGUCAGUUGUGAAAGUUUGCGGCUCAACCGUAAAAUUGCAGUUGAAACUGGCAGUCUUGAGUACAGUAGAGGUGGGCGGAAUUCGUGGUGUAGCGGUGAAAUGCUUAGAUAUCACGAAGAACUCCGAUUGCGAAGGCAGUUCACUGGACUGCAACUGACACUGAGGCUCGAAAGUGUGGGUAUCAAACAGGAUUAGAUACCCUGGUAGUC